rnacentral:rRNA from 1 species
CGCGGCCUAUCAGCUUGUUGGCAGGGUAAUGGCCUACCAAGGCGACGACGGGUAGCCGGCCUGAGAGGGCGACCGGCCACACUGGGACUGAGACACGGCCCAGACUCCUACGGGAGGCAGCAGUGGGGAAUAUUGCGCAAUGGGCGGAAGCCUGACGCAGCGACGCCGCGUGCGGGAUGAAGGCCUUCGGGUUGUAAACCGCUUUCAGCAGGGACGAACAAAGGACGGUACCUGCAGAAGAAGCGCCGGCUAACUACGUGCCAGCAGCCGCGGUAAUACGUAGGGCGCGAGCGUUGUCCGGAAUUAUUGGGCGUAAAGAGCUCGUAGGCGGCCUGUCGCGUCCGCUGUGAAAUCCCGGGGCUUAACCCCGGGCGUGCAGUGGAUACGGGCUGGCUGGAGGCAGGCAGGGGAGAACGGAAUUCCUGGUGUAGCGGUGAAAUGCGCAGAUAUCAGGAGGAACACCGGUGGCGAAGGCGGUUCUCUGGGCCUGUUCUGACGCUGAGGAGCGAAAGCGUGGGGAGCGAACAGGAUUAGAUACCCUGGUAGUCCACGCCGUAAACGUUGGGCGCUAGGUGUGGGUCCCUUCCACGGGGUCUGUGCCGCAGCUAACGCAUUAAGCGCCCCGCCUGGGGAGUACGG